rnacentral:lncRNA from 1 species
GUAACUUCAAAAACGAAUAAGAAAUAACAGUUUUUGUGUGAGGACACAGUCUUGUAAAAAAAAAAAAAAUCGGUUUCCUAUUGAACAUACUUCUUUCCAAAAUAAAUAUUCUAGUUUGAUUACAUUUUAGGGUGUCUGAGUAGUAAAUACAAAUGUAUUUUGACUUGUUGAAACAAAGUUUAAGGGGUAGAUUUUCGGAUUCCUUUCUCUGCAAGUUGAAUGAGUGGAUUACUCAUUGAUGGCGCCAACUAAACUGACUUUUUUGGGAUAUAAAAAAUGAUUUUAUCUAACAAAACUACAUGCUGGGACCCUCUUGAUGACAAAUCAGAGGAAAAUUUUCAAAAAGUAACCCAUAAGGACAGCCUCCCCUCUAAGAUAGUGUUGACGGUGAAGAUGGCUCCAUUCCAUGGUUUCCUGCAUAGGUCAACACCAGGGAGAAGAUCACCACUACCAGGGGACCAGAGAGUUUCUUCCAAGCGCAUGUCAACACUGGCCACAUCCAGCACCUCCAGGUGGAUCCGGACCAGAGCCAUGACACUUUCCUCCUGGACAAACUCCAAUGGCGUCAGAGGUCCAUGACAUCAGGGUCUCUGUGGAUAUCAUCCCGCUCCCUGUCUUUAAAGUGACCCUGGAGGAAGGGUCAUCAGAGGCCCUGACCAAGGAGGUCAUACAGGUGGAUUCAGGACAUAUUUAUUAUGUCCAUGAUGGAAGUGAUACACUGGCAGAUAACUUCAACAUCAUGGCCAACGACACCGACAUCCAGGAAGCCCAGCCAGCCCUGCACGGUGUUUGUCCAUGUGACGCCUGUCAACGAUGAGGCCCCGGUCAUAACAGCCAACGGGAUAUUACGCUUUCCCCCAUACAGGUGUGGGUGAACUCAGUCGCAGAGAUCUGCGUAGAUGACCUGAGUGUUGAGGACAGUGCCUCUCCUCCUGAGGACCUAGAGUUCAUCGAAACCCCGCCUAGCAACAGACACCGGGCCCUGAAGAGCUCCCCCUUCAGGCACAUCCUGAACUUCACCCAGACACACAUCCUUUGGGGACUGGUGUUUGUGCACAGUGGUGCCCUGUCAGGAGGAUUUCACUUCCAGGUCAAUAAUGGGGUGAACAUUACCCCUGUCAGAUCUUCAGUGGUUCUCAGCCUGGAGAGUAACCACGUCCUCACGGUGUUCCCAGGUAUCACAACAGGAAAUGGAUAUAUAGACCUUGAACCAGACACUUAAGGUGUUCCCAGGUAACAUAAUAGGAAAUAGAACUAUAG